AACGUAGGAGACAAACGUUAUCCGGAGUUACUGGGCGUAAAGGGCGUGUAGGCGGUCGACUAAGUCUGGCGUGAAAGCUCGCGGCUAAACCGCGAGAGGUCGUUGGAUACUGGUUGACUAGAGGACGGUAGAGGCGUGUGGAAUUCCUGGUGUAGCGGUGAAAUGCGCAGAUAUCAGGAGGAACACCGAUGGCGAAGGCAGGUCUCUGGGCAUUAACUGACGCUGAGGAGCGAAAGCAUGGGGAGCGAACAGG
rnacentral:rRNA from 1 species